UGCAGUCGACGCUUCUUUUUCCACCGGAGCUUGCUCCACCGGAAAAAGAGGAGUGGCGAACGGGUGAGUAACACGUGGGUAACCUGCCCAUCAGAAGGGGAUAACACUUGGAAACAGGUGCUAAUACCGUAUAACAAUCAAAACCGCAUGGUUUUGAUUUGAAAGGCGCUUUCGGGUGUCGCUGAUGGAUGGACCCGCGGUGCAUUAGCUAGUUGGUGAGGUAACGGCUCACCAAGGCCACGAUGCAUAGCCGACCUGAGAGGGUGAUCGGCCACAUUGGGACUGAGACACGGCCCAAACUCCUACGGGAGGCAGCAGUAGGGAAUCUUCGGCAAUGGACGAAAGUCUGACCGAGCAACGCCGCGUGAGUGAAGAAGGUUUUCGGAUCGUAAAACUCUGUUGUUAGAGAAGAACAAGGAUGAGAGUAACUGUUCAUCCCUUGACGGUAUCUAACCAGAAAGCCACGGCUAACUACGUGCCAGCAGCCGCGGUAAUACAUAGGUGGCAAGCGUUGUCCGGAUUUAUUGGGCGUAAAGCGAGCGCAGGCGGUUUCUUAAGUCUGAUGUGAAAGCCCCCGGCUCAACCGGGGAGGGUCAUUGGAAACUGGGAGACUUGAGUGCAGAAGAGGAGAGUGGAAUUCCAUGUGUAGCGGUGAAAUGCGUAGAUAUAUGGAGGAAUACCAGUGGCGAAGGCGGCUCUCUGGUCUGUACUGACGCUGAGCUCGAAGCGUGGGAGCA
rnacentral:rRNA from 1 species